CUGUAGCUCAGUGGAUAGAGCGUCUGCCUCCGGAGCAGACGGUCGUGGGUUCGAAUCCCGCCGGGG
rnacentral:tRNA from 1 species